rnacentral:rRNA from 2 species
UGGGGAAUAUUGGGCAAUGGGCGCAAGCCUGACCCAGCAACGCCGCGUGAGGGAAGAAGGUCUUCGGAUUGUAAACCUCUGUCCUUGGGGACGAAAAAAAUGACGGUACCCAAGGAGGAAGCUCCGGCUAACUACGUGCCAGCAGCCGCGGUAAUACGUAGGGAGCGUGCGUUGUCCGGAAUUACUGGGCGUAAAGGGUGCGUAGGCGGCAUGGCAAGUCAGAUGUGAAAUUCCCGGGCUUAACUCGGGGGGUGCAUUUGAAACUGCUGAGCUUGAGUGCAGGAGAGGAAAGCGGAAUUCCCGGUGUAGCGGUGAAAUGCGUAGAGAUCGGGAGGAACACCAGUGGCGAAGGCGGCUAACUGGACUGUAACUGACGCUGAAGCGCGAAAGUGUGGGGAGCAAACAGG